GUUUCAAAUUUCGGUUUUCGUAUUUCUUAGAGUAUUCUAACUGAAUGAUUAAGUCGAUAUAUUCUGCUGAUCUAUGAUGACAACAUCAUUUACCGAGAAUAAAGAUUGAUUACGAGAAGGGCGUGAAAUAUUCGGGUUACGAGUAAUACGCGGUGUCCAAGAACGCAAAUCGCCGUACACUAUGUCACAAAUGACACAAAUGUUUGUGAGUAAAACACCUUGGAUUUAUUUUAUUUAUACAAUGACUUCGUUUCAAGAAAUUUGGACUGUGAAGGAAACCCAAAAGCGUCAGAAUCGUGGAACACAUUUGACUGGAAUAAAGAAAUUGACACAAGCAUGAACUUUU
rnacentral:lncRNA from 1 species